CGCGUCUACCAUGCAGUCGAGCGGUAAGGCCCUUCGGGGUACACGAGCGGCGAACGGGUGAGUAACACGUGAGCAACCUGCCCCUGACUCCGGGAUAAGCGGUGGAAACGCCGUCUAAUACCGGAUACGACCCUCCACCUCAUGGUGGUGGGUGGAAAGUUUUUCGGUCGGGGAUGGGCUCGCGGCCUAUCAGCUUGUUGGUGGGGUAACGGCCUACCAAGGCGAUUACGGGUAGCCGGCCUGAGAGGGCGACCGGCCACACUGGGACUGAGACACGGCCCAGACUCCUGCGGGAGGCAGCAGUGGGGAAUAUUGCGCAAUGGGCGAAAGCCUGACGCAGCGACGCCGCGUGGGGGAUGACGGCCUUCGGGUUGUAAACCUCUUUUACCACUCACGCAGGCUCCACGUUCUCGUGGGGUUGACGGUAGGUGGGGAAUAAGGACCGGCUAACUACGUGCCAGCAGCCGCGGUAAUACGUAGGGUCCGAGCGUUGUCCGGAAUUAUUGGGCGUAAAGAGCUCGUAGGCGGCGUGUCGCGUCUGCUGUGAAAGACCGGGGCUUAACCCCGGUUCUGCAGUGGAUACGGGCAUGCUAGAGGUAGGUAGGGGAGACUGGAAUUCCUGGUGUAGCGGUGAAAUGCGCAGAUAUCAGGAGGAACACCGGUGGCGAAGGCGGGUCUCUGGGCCUUACCUGACGCUGAGGAGCGAAAGCAUGGGGAGCGAACAGGAUUAGAUACCCUGGUAGUCCAUGCCGUAAACGUUGGGCGCUAGGUGUGGGGACUUUCCACGGUUUCCGCGCCGUAGCUAACGCAUUAAGCGCCCCGCCUGGGGAGUACGGCCGCAAGGCUAAACUCAAAGGAAUUGACGAGGGCCCGCACAAGCGGCGGAGCAUGUUGCUUAAUUCGACGCAUCGCGAAGAACCUUACCAAGG
rnacentral:rRNA from 1 species